rnacentral:rRNA from 1 species
UACGUAGGUGGCAAGCGUUGUCCGGAUUUAUUGGGUUUAAAGGGUGCGUAGGCGGUUUUGUAAGUCAGUGGUGAAAUACUCCAGCUUAACUGGAGGGGUGCCAAUGAUACUGCAGAACUUGAGUACAGAUGAGGUAGGCGGAAUUGACGGUGUAGCGGUGAAAUGCAUAGAUAUCGUCAAGAACACCGAUAGCGAAGGCAGCUUACUGGGCUGUAACUGACGCUGAGGCACGAAAAGUGUGGGGGAUACAAACAGG